rnacentral:lncRNA from 1 species
GUGGUUCCUGGCUAGUGCCCUUACAUGUCACUAAUGCAAUAGUGUGUUGAUGCAGGUACAUAUGAAUUUCAGCAAUGGAGGAGAAUGGUUUGAUGCAAAAUACUAGGCUUAUAUCAGGUGCAUAAGGCAAAAAUAGAAAGUGGACAAUUUAGGGUGAGUACCAGCAAGUCUUUCUGUAAGCAGUUAGGUGAUGCUGUAUGGCAGCCACCAGGGAAGCAGCAGAAGACCCUCAGUCGGGAACCGACUGAAUAUGAGACAGCUUCAUUCAGAGACCACAAGCUUGUGUGGGGAGGCAGGUGGGCUACAUGGUCUAACGGGUCCGUUCUGUCUUUAACUUCUCUGAUUCUGCACAGCCUUCCCUAAAAGCCAUCACAAAGGAGUGUCAAAAGACUCAAUACAUAUUCAUGGACAUUUCUGGAGCUGCAAACUAUGAAAAGAAAUCAAGUUGCUCUUAUCCAUGGACUGAAAUUGAAAGUACAGCCUAAUCCAAAAGGAUACCAGCUCACAGAGUGGUGUAUGAAAAUCUUAUAAAGCACUGCAACACUCCAUAAAUAAUUUUCAAACAAGAAGCUUUUUGUUUCACUGAUGGCAACACUGAAAAGGAAGAAUGGCAAAUAGCCGUCAAAAAAUGGCUGAAACAGCCUGCACUCUGUACCAAAGUUAACUUUAAUCACUGCAGGAGUUACACACAGAGUUAUCAGUCAUUUGUUAGAAACCGCAGACAAUCAUUGCAAAGGUUUAGAUUAACACGGACCAGAGUCUGGUGCCUUGCCAAUGGGGCACCACGUGACGGGCAGCCCAUGGAAUAAACAUUCUGGCACAUCAGUGUGCUAUAAAUCCUCCAAAUGAAAGAAAUUAAAAAGCCAGGAGCAAUUCUGAAAAUGAUUUAUGAUUGGAGGUGCACUUAGGAGUGCUUUUAUUGUCACAGGAACAUCUCCUUUCACAUCCUUAAGGUGACAGACCUACUCCACUUCCCUCUGGAUUUCUUGGGCUACCUUGUGACUACACAGGGUGCAAAGGCAAGCACCCUGGGAGCAUGCUGGGUGGUGGGGGGAAUACCAGCACUUUAGCAGCAUCCCCCUCUUGUGAGGGUUAGCUUUGCACAGCCUGAGGGUAAGAGAACUGCAAAUCUGUUCUGACAUUUUAAGUAUGCAAAAAGACACCAGUUGUGGGGUGGUUUGUUUUUUUUCUUUUACAGCUAUACCACAACCAUGCUCCUAAAUGCAUGUAUAAACAUUUUAUAACAUGGAUUUGGAAUAACUCUUCAAAAAUAAACUUAAGAAUAGUUCCUAAGCAGAAGGUAUUCUUAUCAAAACAGCAGUCUGUUGCAAGUCAACCCUUUGCUCCAUACGUAAAAAGAUGCAGCGCUAUCUGUUAGUGUACUUCUAGUGUAAAUAUUACUGUUUCACUAAAAUAUGAUUUUAGUACUAAUAUAGAUAUGUUUUUUUAAACAAAAAGUGCUUCCACUAUAAGCUGAAGGGCAAAAGAUUGUGGUUUACAGGCAGAAUACUCUAUCUAAAGAAUAAGACCCAUGGUGUGAGCAAAAGCCUGGGUACCUUGUAUAUCCAGGAUAUCGGCACAACAGCUAAUACUAGUCCAAGGCAGUGAUACCCUGGGCCAUGGACACAAACUUACCUGCAGCAUCACUGCCUUCCUGGUUUCUACUUUGGGCAUGUCUUGAGGUGCUUGGCCUUGUGCCUCUUGUUCUUCUGGGAUAGCACUGAUGGGUCCCACAUGAAGUGCCAUGGACAUGUACCCAGCAGAGUCAGCUGGUUUGGAUUAGCAAUGUCUGGUCACUACUGCUUCUGUCCACAGCUGGAACAAAACUUUAAAAAACAUAGUCUGUACAGGUUAUUGUUUCCAGUAAAGGCUUACACAUCUCCCAGCAUUGCCUAUCUUCUGUAGGUGAUUGUGGACAUCUCUGUCCAUCUAAAAGUAUUUCCUCCACAUGUUCCCACAGAUGACUUCUUAAGGUUAAUUUUAUAUCUAUGUACUAAACCUUCUGAUGUUCCCAUCCUGGGGCAGCACAGCAAAACAACUUUUAUAUCUUGGUUGGAGGUUGGCUCCUCAAAGCCAGCAUCUCAAGAACUGUCUUAUAAAACUCUGCAUGUGUUUGCUGAAUGUGACUUUUGGGGGCCACACUCACUUAGACCCACUGACAUCUCUAUCUCCAUCAAGGCUAGGCAGUGCCUUUCCCCCAGGGAUGCCAUGAGUGGACUGACCAUAUGCGGUACAACGUGUGGGGACCUGCACUGCAGGCUGGCGUUCUGUGACCUUACAGGGUCCCUUCUCACCCUCACGUGGGGUGGAUGUGGUGGGAGGGUAUAGGGUUAAACCUUUCUGGGAUUAUUUAUGGAAGCCCUUUCUUGAAUUUGCAAGUGUUUAUCUACAUUUUGUAAGCAUCUUAUAUUGUGCUUUGUCUGUUGUGCUGCUGAUAUUGACCCUGGAUAUAUAGUUCACUGAUUGCCAGUUAAUUACAUGUCAUUAAUAGAUCAAUAACCUGCUUUGAUCCUGAUUUGCUUUAAAACAUAUGAAUUGAGCAGCUUUUCCUUGCAACAACACUAAUCUUUCUCUGUCCAUUUCCCAGAAAUAAACCAAUGAAGCUGUAAAGCAGACACCCUUCCCACCCCUCUGAAUGCAAGUAUCUCUUUGCAUGUAACAUACCUCUUCCACCACGCUGAACAAAAAGGGGCAGAAUACGAUAAAAAGAGCUGGACGCUAAGGGAGAAGUUCUCCCAUGGCACUGGUAAUGAAAGUUACAGCUAAGUGCUUUUGAGGGUAGCAAUAACUCUGGGUGGGGGAGAAGACCAACGAGCUCUUGCAGCACAAGGAGAGUACUGUAAGUUAAGUAAGUUGUACAAAUUAUGCUGAGGGAAACUGGAGGGACUGGAGCUGUCUCAAAUCGAGUGACCACAAAGAAGGCAUUAAGCCAUUCAAGCUUCCUCUCUGCAAAGCCUAUGCCGAGGCACUGCAGACUUGUAGCUCAGUAGCUUCCCCUCCUCUGUACACACCAGGUGUUAGUUUGGUCUGUGCAUCUAGUCUGGUCUUCAUCCCCCUUCCUGUUUUACUGACAAGGCUGCUGAGCAGUGGCUGCAAUGACAGUAAUAGGCACAUGUGGAUCCCUAUGUAAUAAGAAAUAACCUGAGAGAAAUUCUCCAUCUGCAUAGUAGGUUAAUGUUCCUCCUUUUUUUCCAGUUUGGAUUGAUUUAGAAAUGCUAAGCUAUAAUUUUAGCAAGGCAGAUGCUGCUAGAAAUGCAAGAUGUAGCAAAAAGUGGUUUAAUCAUUGGAUUGUAUUUAGAACAAAAAUAUGAGUAGAUGCAAUGAAGGACAUUUUAAGGUGUACCAGCUCCAUAACAAGUUCUCCAUCCUAAGUGGAGGAGCAUGUCUGAAACAGUGGCCUGGGACCAGCCAGUUCCUCAAUGAACCGAGGGGCCGUGAUCCCACCUCACAAACCUACACACCUCCAGUUUGGUAUUUCAGUGUUAGAAUAUGAACUGCUUACGUACAAGGUAUCUGUGGCUUUGAUAGUGGCUCUGCCUGUCCCCCACCCCAUGAAAUCCACGUCAAAUCUCCCAGCAGACAGACACAUACCCAUUCUCGGAGAGAGAGCUCGCACAGUUUGUAAGGAUGUAGUAAGGAUGUACGCCUUGUCUCGCAGGGCCUUUUCCUCCCUCCCACCCCAUCAACACUCCGGCAUGAAAACGGGAUGCCAUCAGGCGCAGUUAUUAAUACACAAUAGAAGUGCCAUGUGUGAUUGUCUGCAUUAUAUGUAAUGCAGAUUUAGAGAUGUCAUUGUAAAGUCAUUUUAAACUCUGAACUAAUGGGUAGUUUGGCAACAGCUUCUAAGUAUGAAAUCAUUAUUAAUUCCUUUAGUACCAUAAUAACAUUGAUUUAGAUGAACUCUUAUAACAUAGAAAUUGUAUAGUAUUUAGCUGUAAUUAACGUCCCCUAAUUAGGAAGUGUUGCCAAGUAGUUUUCUCUGCUGGCUCUGUUGUACUUAAGUGCAGCUGGAUGAAAAUUAACCACAAAGGGAACAGCUUGUGUUUUAUGUGAAGUUUGCCUUUGAUUGAUUAAAAAACUAUUCCUUGGUACUUUAUUUUAUUACCAAAGAGGGGGCACUGGAUUAUCAAUGUUACAGAGAGCCACAAAGUCCACAUGCUGUAAACUACGCACACAUUUGUAUAGUAUAUAAGCCCAAUGACUUAGCUACACAUUCAGAAAAUUCACAGAUUUAUUUUGUCUCAGUACCACAAGUUAUCCAUAAUAAAAAUCAAUUUAUUU